rnacentral:rRNA from 10 species
AAGAAAUUUAAUAAUUUUGAAAAUGGAUUUUUUUGUUUUGGCAAGAGCAUGAGAGCUUUUACUGGGCAAGAAGACAAGAGAUGGAGAGUCCAGCCGGGCCUGCGCUUAAGUGCGCGGUCGUGCUAGGCUUGUAAGUUUCUUUCUUGCUAUUCCAAACGGUGAGAGAUUUCUGUGCUUUUGUUAUAGGACAAUUAAAACCGUUUCAAUACAACACACUGUGGAGUUUUCAUAUCUUUGCAACUUUUUCUUUGGGCAUUCGAGCAAUCGGGGCCCAGAGGUAACAAACACAAACAAUUUUAUCUAUUCAUUAAAUUUUUGUCAAAAACAAGAAUUUUCGUAACUGGAAAUUUUAAAAUAUUAA